rnacentral:sRNA from 2 species
UUGAAUACAUAGCUGAAUUUUCGAAAUGAAAAACGGGGGAACCAAACUUUAGGGGUGAAUCUGUACAACAAAGUACAGUAGGGUUAUUCUCACAGUCCGAAUCCGACAGCUAACCUCGUAAGCGGAUAGUGGGAGGGUAG